rnacentral:rRNA from 1 species
AAGCACAGACAGAGCCGGACUCUUAGAAAUUCUGUAUCUCGUCUGAUCUCGGAAGCUAAGCAGGGUCGGGCCUGGUUAGUACUUGGAUGGGAGAAAUUCUGUAUCUGUCCUGC